rnacentral:tRNA from 1 species
GGGUCCAUAGCUCAUCUGGGAGAGCGCAUCGUUCGCAACGAUGAGGUAGCGAGUUCGAUCCUCGUUGGAUCCACCA